UUUUUUUUUUUUUUUCCUUUUUAGGGCCACAGGUGCAGCAUGUGGAAGUUUCCAUGCUAGGGGUCAAAUUGAAGCUACAGCUGCCAGCCUACGCCACAGCCACAGCAAUAUGGCUCAAGGCAACUCCGGAUCUUUAACCCACUGAGCAAGGUAGUGAUUGAACCUGCAUCCUCUUGGAUCCUAGUUGGGUUUGUUACUGCUGAGCCAUGAUGGGAACUCCUAAUUUUUUAAAUUAAGGUGUAGUUGAUUUACAAUGUUGUAUCAAUUUCUGCUAUACAACAAAGUGACCCAGUCCCAUAUAUCUAUAUAUAUAUAGAUAAAUAGAUAGAUACACACACACACACAUAUAUAUACACACACAUUCCUUUUCUCAUAUUAUUUUACAUCAAGUUCUAACACAAGAGAUUGGAUAGCAUUUAAUGUUAAUUCACACUAUAGUGUCAUGACCUGCACAGAGUCCUUUCAGUGCCUGAAGAAGAGAAACAGCCUAAUGUUAACAGGUAGCAUCGGUGCAGGCAUUGUAAGGAGUAUUUGACAAGUACUUCAUUUAUAAGAACAUCCCAAUAAACCGUAACUAUUCUCAUUUUAGAGCUGAAGACAAUGAGGUUUAGGAGGUGGUUGAGCAAAUUGUCUAAGGUUACUAUAGGACAGAGCCAGGCCCCACCCACAUCCAUCUGAUAUGAAAGUCUAUUUUAAGCAUCAGCUCUACCACCUGAGCAAGUCUGGCCUAGGCCUUUGUUCCCAGCAUCAUCCCAGAUUGACCCAUAAGUAUAACACUAUUAUGCCGAUCCUUUACUUCACCAACAUCUCUUCUGCCAUUUCCCUAAAAGCCACCAUCUCCCUUCUCAGCCUCUGUCCUGUGUAUGACAACAGAGCUUAUAGCUCCAUUUAGAAUCACUUUACCCUGGACUUUAUUCCAGAAGAUUGACUUCUUCCCUUUAGUUCAUGGUUCUUAACCUAGGAUCUAAGGAAAAAACUUGGUGGGGAGGAAUUAGGAUGGGCAAAUGCCUUGAAAUUGUAAAUUUUCAUGUAUGUAAACAGGUGCAUUUUUCAAGAAAAGGAAGUCUCAAGGUUUUGAUCAGGUUCUCAAGGAAUUUAUUGACUGAAAAAAAAUACACAACCUAAAAGCUGAAAAUUGUGUUUUAUUUGCUGGACAUUUUGAGGACUUCGAGCCUGGGACAUAGCACCUCAGAUAAGGCUGAGAAACUCUUCUCAAGAGGAAACAGUGGGGAGGGGUGGAGGAGGGAUGCAGCCAGGAUAUACAGGCAUCUUUGCAAUGAAAGACCAGGAAGUCAGAACAUCAAAAGUAAACCAGAUCUCUCAAGUUAAGGAAUUAGUGCUUUUCUAUGUAUGGAAAGAUGCAAGAGUCUGGGCUCACUGAAAUCAUUCCUUCAAUAAACACCUUAGCUCUCUGGGGCCAGUACCCUGUGCUUUCUCAUCCUGAGUCUCCUCAGAGUGCACCAGUGGGGAGCCUGCAGCAGUUGACUGCUUGAUGGCAGGCAUCCUGUUUCCAACCUAAGUUCCCUCAGGACUCAUCGUCAGGGUGUUGUAAUGCGAUGGCUUGACGGCUGCAACAUCUUUUGUUCACUGAUAUGGCAGGCAAUAUUUUAGUUUUCAAAUCUGUGGCCAAAAAAUAUUAAAACCAUAGCUUGAUUCAAUUUCCAGGGCAUAAAGGUAAGAGAGAAAGAAUUUGCCUAGAAAGUGGAAGGUUGGUGACAUCAGAGUAGUGCAAGAACAACUGACUUUGAACUUCACAAAUCUGCCUGGGACUUUCUAUAAUGCUCUGUUGUGAAAUUUCAUCCACUGCCCACUAAUUAGUUCUGCCUGUCUUGUGUGUGAUCAGGGGUCAGGUACUUGGGGUAUGGUGACUAUGGAGCACAGAGUAGGCAUUCUUGAUGCAUCACAAUCCCAGCUGGUUCUUGGUGGAAAGGGUUCUUCCUCUCAGACUUGACUGCUAGAUGGACAGUACCCCUGAGCUUCCAGUAUACUCAAUAGGAAGUUGAGGAAAGUGGGAAAGAUGGUGACAAUAAUGGUAGAGCAUGUCUGGUAACUACGAACAAUUUCCUCUGUUUCCUCAACAUUACUCAGUGGCCUCGCCUUUUAUGAUGUGGUCUUGGUCAUGCAAGACAAAAUUACAUACUGCAGUCUGAUAAGACCUGACUAUUUUAUUAUUAAGAGGAUGUGAGAGGUUAAGUGUUAAGUGAGAUGUAAUGCAAUUUAAGGGAGGUAGGUAGUGGUGAGUGGAUAGAAAAAAUUUAAGAGGAAAAAUGUUCUUUUUCAAAAGAGAAAAUACUCAAAUGCAAGGAAAAGAAAGGCUAAUGACCAAAUGAUGAAAAUCCUAGUUCUAAUUACCAUUUGGGUAUUAAUAGUUGAAAAAUGUUGUAAACCACCUAAUGCCCACAUUUUCUCAUUGAUGGAGAACACAAUGAAGGUUUUAAGGAAAGUAAUUUCCAUCUCAAAAAUCAUAGUUGUUCAUCUGGGGGUGGUCAGGAUGAUAGAGAGAUGAAUGAAUCAGAAAUGGUACCAUGGUUCUCUACUGAAAGUAAAAGAACAAGUCCAAAGUGGUUUAACACAUGUAACUACAGUGUCCAGGAACUACACUGAAGACGUCAAGGAGUAUAGUGGCUUCCUCCCAGGGAGGCUACGGGAGGUGGUGGGGCUGGAUCCAGGUAGACAGUCCUAAGCAGAGAAGGAGGGUCAAACUGGGAGGAACCAGGAUGUGCCAUUAAAAAUCCUAAAGAGGAAAGAUAAAAAGGAAGCCCAGAGACCACGUGUGGGGCAUCUUUUGUGGCCCCUUGGGGGGCAGGCAAUGCAGAGAAGGAAGUUGGACUUGUCUUGAUCACAAGCUGGAAAGAAUCUUCAGGAUUAAGUUAAAUGAGGACAUUCAGCACAUGGGAGAGACUUUUAAACCCUAACUGAGGCACCAAGACAGCAUGAGACUGUAGUAUUAGUCCCUAGUUAUAUGUGGUUUGCAUUACCAAAUUCUCUGGACACACACAAGUCACCUAAACUCACUGUAAAACAGAUUUUACAGUGUGUACAAAACUAUACGGAAUUAUAUAAACUCCGGAUACAAACUAUAACAUAAAAAUCUACAUGACUCUUUCCUGAUCCCAUUACUUUCCCCAGAGGAAAUUGGUAUUAAUAGUUCUAUAUGCACCAAAUACACACAUGUGCACUAUUUUUUCAGAUAUAUAUCUCUGUGUUCUGUGAUUUACUAAACAGUAUGUCACAAUCUUCACACUGUUUUAAUUCAUAUAGAUCUGCCUCAUCUUAUUAAUAGUUACAGAUUAUUUUGAAGUAUCAAAUACUGUAAUUUAUUUGUCCACGUCCCCUUGCCAAUCCCAUCGUUUGCAGAAAUUUCUCAGAUGCCCUGCCAUUCACUCACUCAUUCAUUCAUUGGAUUCGGAACAUCCACAAUCACUAUGGCCUCAUGUCAAACCUACGGUUAGUACAAAGAUGUAAAAUCCGUGCCUUUUUAUGCUCAAGGCUUAAAAUCAAGUGGAGGCGAUAAGAACCUAGUCGUAUUAAUCUGGUUGUAAAAUAUAGGUCAGUUUAAAGCCACAUUAAAUCCUUUCUGCUCUAAGCCAAGUGUUAGUAGGGAGGCAGUCAAUGUAAACAGAUAAAUAACCAGUUUGCAGCACUGGAUUAAUGCUGCAUGGGGAGUAUAAACAAAGAGCCACAGGAGUCGAGAAGAGGGAGAGAUGGUUUCCAGCAGGGUUUUCCGGCUCCCAUCCCCUGCACACAGCCUGGCCAGAUCAAUCUUCCCGCAGCAGCGCUUUGAUCAUGCCACUACUUUACUCAGAAACCUCCCGUGACCCUCCAUGGCCUGGCCUCUUUUCCCAUCUGCUGCAGAAAUUACUUCAUCCACGUCACCGUUUCCAUUAGAAUGGAGGUCAUUGUGACAGGGCUGAGAGUUGGAGUCGUUACAAAAUCUGGGUGUGAAACCUGCUUCUGUCACUUCUCAGCUCAGUGACAUUGGGUAAACCAAGCAUCCCCCCUCCCCCUGGUUUUGGCUGCUCCCUCAGUCAACUGUUGAUAUUGCCCAUCUCAUUUUUUGGGCAAUGUAAUUAAAUGAGAAAAGGUGGGUGGAAGUUCUCUGUUAACUAUGAAGUGUUCUGUGAGUACAAGACACAUAUAUUUCUAUGUGAUAUACAGAUUUGUAAAGGCACUGGGUAAUGGUGUGUUUGUAAAUACGGCUACUAAGACUUCUGUGUGAGGUGCCUAUAAAGAAGCUUUGAUACUUGCUUUGGACUCUGAAGGAUUGAUUUUGACAGGAGGAUGAGGGGAUGGCAUGAGACUGUUUAAAGAGGCUGCAAAAGCCCACAGUGUGUUUGGGGAUGAGCCAAUCGUGACUGCCUCCAGGGGGAGGUUUACCCACUGGGGAGCACACUCACGCCCUGGGAAGAGCUGGGACCGGUUCUUGUGGAGGCUCCCAACGGCUGGGCCAGGAGGGUUGUAUCCCAGUCCUACAGGCUCUGGGGGGGCAUGAGACAUUUUGAGCAGAGGAAAGGUGUGAUCAGAGGUGGUCAAAUGCCCAGCAUUCUGAGGAAGGGAUCAACAGGAAGGUGCUUCCAGCUAAAGAGGAUUCCUGAAAGACUACGGCGAGGCUGGGUGGCAAAAGAUGUCACUGAGCCAGGAUUCUGGCCGAGGAGAUGGAGAGGAACAGAGGUAAGUUAGUGAGACUGUUGUGAAAUCGUUGGCUGGAUUCUUGGCCAUUGGUUGUACUCUGAGGAGGAGGAAGAGAGAGGGAUGAAGGAGAUUUUAACCUGAUGGUGACCUGGGGUUGGGAAAUGCGCCACUGAGGACCAGAGAAAAUAGGAGUUAAGGGGGAGUGCACUUUUUUGCCUGGGAUAUGUUGGCAAUGGAAGGGAAAAUAGGAAACAUGGCCAGGAGUGAUAACUGAACUAGCCAGGGAGACAGCAGCGGAGGGGCUGGGUAAUGAGCCCUAGUUUCUCACAGACCUCACUGGUUCAGAAGCUGGAUUGAAGCCUACAUUUGCAUUUUCUGUGAACAUAAAGUGUACCCAGAAAAUUAACAGUGAAAACUGGAUUUGGGGAGACUCUUAAAUCUUCAAGGAACAAAUAGUUUUCAAGAACCGACUUAUUAGAAACAAUUGACUUGCUGAUUAUAGUUUAUUCUCAGCUGUCUCCUCUAUUCAUGAAAGAGUUUCCUUCAAAGGAUUUGGCUUAGAAACUUUAUUCGCCCGUGUUUCAACGACUGUAUAUCGUUAAAAGGAAUCCAGAUGCAUUUCUUUACAAAUAGUCUUCCAUUCAGACAUUUUACCAGUUCAAAAUCACUUUGAUUUCUAAUAUGUUUGAAUAAAUAAGUCUAUGCUGCUAAGCCUGUUUCCUAAGGAUUUGAGAAUUAACUUGGAAAUCAAUUGUAAGGCACUAUUUUCUGGGAAAACCCACUAUUUUGUAGCCAGAUGUCUCCUAAAAUACUAUAAACCAGGAAAAAAAAAAAAACCUUCAUUUGCAUUAUUCACCAAAGGAAACAAGACUUUUUCCCCAUCGUCAAAACUAAAUUUCUCUGUUUUAUGUGAGUUUACUCCAUUUCAUCUUUUCUUUCUUUCUUUCUUUCUUUCUUUCUUUCUUUUUCUUUUUUUCUUUCUUUCUUCCCUCCCUCCCUCUUCCUUCCUUCCUUCCUUCCUUCCUUCCUUCCUUCCUUUCCUUCUCUCUCUGUUUCUUUUGUUCACUCUGUCUCUGGCAUGUGAAAUUUUCCCAGUUUCCCAGGCCAGAGAUCAAACCUGUUCCACAGCAGCGACCCAAGCUGAUGCAGUGACAAUGCUGGAUCCUUAACCCGCUGCACCACAAGAGAACUUCUCUAUUUCAUUUUAUGAUCUACGAUUAUCUAUACUGAAAGCAUAAAAAAAAAUUCAGUUCACCGUAAAAAUAAGAGUAGUGAAAUAUAAGUGAGAAUUUGUCAUGCAAAUAGAUUUUCACAUUGGAAUAAUAACUAGCACAGGAAAAAGUCCCACACUUGAAAAAGCAUACGACUCCAUAUUGUCUCAUAUUACAAAGAUCUAUACAGUAUUUUAAAGGACUGACUAGAUUUUUUGUGUAUGCUUUUUAUACUUGAAGUUAUACAAUGGCCUUAUUGAAAAGUUACCAACAUAAUUUGAAAUAAAAUUUUACAUCUUAAAACAUUAUAUAGUUGGAGGUAGUUAUUCGAUUCGAAAGCAGCAAAUAUGGGAUUUUCCUUCAAGGCUCAGUGGUUCAAAAACUCAACUAGGAUCCAUGAGGAUUUGGGUUUGAUCCCUGGCCUCGCUCAGUGGGUUAAGGAUCCAGCGUUGCCACGAGCUGUGGUGUAGGUCGCAGAUGUGGCUCGGAUCCCGAGUUGCUGUGGCUGUGGUAUAGGCCGGCAGCUGUAGCUCUGAUUUGACCCCUAGCCUGGGAACUUCCAUAUGCUGCGGGUGGGGCCCUAAAAAAAAAAAAAGAGCAGCAAACAUGUCUGCUGAGGGAAGUAAAAGCAAACACUUUGGAAACAAUCCUUCAACUUAUAUAAUGAGUGUCAAGAAACUGAUAGUGUUUUUGACCAGUUCAUUUCUAGCAGCCACUGAGACUAAUAUCUAUUUUGGUUUUUUGUUGUUGUUGUUUUUGUUUUUGAUUUUUUUUUUUUUUUUUUUUUUUUGAAAAGAAAAAGUGUUCACUGUAGAAGUCUAGCAAAGGUGGCUGAGGACAUAGGAACAUUGGAAUGAAUGUGCGGCCAGCAAGUAAAACCACAGAGGCCUCUAUCUUUAUUCCAUAUGGUCUGAAGUGAGUCUGAUGGGAUUUCAGAUCGUGGCCUGAGAUAGCCCAGGAUCAUGCAAAGCUCCUGAAUGAAAACUCCAAACUUCUGAAUCAAAACCUCAAAUGCAGGCCAAGUUCGCUGAGGGGUUUGCUGAGGCUUGUGAAACUCUGCGUGAACCUGCCUCCAAUCCUAAACUAGGUAGGGCACAUUUCAAAUGAACCUGAGAUGAAUUAUGGUUUUAGGUGGCAAUCAAGCGAAA
rnacentral:lncRNA from 1 species